AGUUCCUACGGGACGCAGCAGUGAGGAAUAUUGGUCAAUGGCCGAGAGGCUGAACCAGCCAAGUCGCGUGAGGGAAGACGGCCCUACGGGUUGUAAACCUCUUUUGUCGGGGAGCAAAGCGAACCACGUGCGGUUCAUUGAGAGUACCCGAAGAAAAAGCAUCGGCUAACUCCGUGCCAGCAGCCGCGGUAAUACGGAGGAUGCGAGCGUUAUCCGGAUUUAUUGGGUUUAAAGGGUGCGCAGGCGGAGGUGCAAGCCAGCGGUCAAAUUGCGGGGCUCAACCCCGUCCUGCCGUUGAAACUGCA
rnacentral:rRNA from 1 species